UUAGCGGCCAUGGCGGCAGGGUUAACUCCUGUACCCAUCCCGAACACAGAAGAUAAGCCUGCCAGCGUUGUAUACGGUACUAAAGUGCGAGAGCCUUUGGGAACUAUACUCCGCUGCUGAUC
rnacentral:rRNA from 1 species